GUCAGACCCAUGGGGCUCAGUUCUUCAGCUUGGAUAUUUCUGUCUUCACAUACACGGGAGAUCAAAGAAGCACUUGAUCAUGCGCUGACUCUUCCGGAUUCUGAUAGCAGCAAAUAGGAAAGAGAAAGAAUAACUGAUGUGAAUCACUCUGACAGGGAGGUUUCACUGCAAAGACCAGGCUCUCUCAUGUCGAGUAGCUGCGCAGUGAUUGAACCUCUCCGUGGCUGAUAGUCUGUCCCUGCAUUGCUGCUCGCUGGUUAAUUCAACUCUCCUCUCAGUUUUAUCGAAGUUACAUAUCAAGUGCUGAGAUGAUGCUGACUGACUUAUGCUUCCCAAAAAUUGUGUGGUGCUGCUGAAUGUGGCUCUGCUCCCACAUGGGACCAGCAACACCCCAGCCCUGCCAAGUCUACCCACUGUUGGUCUGCUGCAGCCUCCUGUCUGGGAUCACUGCUGCACAGCUACUGUUUGCUCUUUUUUGGCCCCCUUGAGGUGGACCCAUUCAAGUUGUGGGCUGAAAAAGUUUGUGUUUCUUCCUUGGAAGAUCUGUGUUAAAGUUUAUUUUCUUUCAGGCGUCAGGAAAAUAAAAUUUAUGGUCUUCAAACACGUAAAGAGGGUUUGAAGGGUUUCUUUGUGGCUGUCUGAAGCAUAUCAUGCUGCCCAGUUGUGAGACGACGGAUCUUGGAAGGACUAACCAGUCCCACCAGCUCCUGCUGGGAGAUAUCCAUUAAACAAGAAGAAGGAGAAACAUACACAAACGAAAGCGAAAUUCUGAAGUUUCAUUUCUGCUGUACUCCCUGUCAAGGAGAGGGAAUUAAAUUGGAGAGUCAUUCAGGUGAAUUCAGCUGUAUUCGUUGCUGCUGUAGACUUGAAACUCAAUUUUGGGCCAAGUAAAGCAUUUGCUAGAAAAUAUUACCCCUCUCUCUAUCUUUUUCUAGCUGAUUUAUGCCACAUUCUGGUGCUUAUUCACAGAUCUCAGCCUGUGCAUUUUGUUCAGGUAAAGCAAUGGGCUGAGUCUUCCAGGCACAGCUGUGGCAGAGCAGCACAACCACCCACAUUUUACAGAUAAAUAAGCUGAGUCCUGACCCUUAGAAUGGGACAACAACCCUGAGUUCCACUGAGUGCCAGCUGUAUUUCAGUUCUGGCUUUCUGCUUUUCAUUCCCAACAAAUAAAUGACAACAAGCACCUCCUUUGGCUGCUGGCAGGAGCGUGCCCCAGAGUCCCACUGAGCCUCUCCUCCCUUGGCUGAGGGUCUAUCCCCAUUUGCUGAUCAACCACUGCUCCCCUUUGCUGCCUCCCACACCAUGAACAGCCUCUGCCUUCCUUCUUGAUACUGUGCGUGCCUUGCCUUGUGGAUGCUGGUGGGAGAGGGGUGAGUGCUGGCUGCAGACCGGUGUUUCUGCUCAGCAAAUGAUCUCAGGCCCUUUCAAAAGAGUGACUGCACAUCGCACACUGCUCUGCAGAAAGCUCUGUGCUUGCUACCCUUUGGUACCCCAAGACAAGCUAGCUGCUGCCAAGUACAGCUCAUCCUUUUUUGGCUAGCAGCCCUUUUUGCUUCCAGGAAAAUGAUGAGUUUAUGUCAGGUUCAGUAAUCCUGAUGUCUGCACAGCUGAGAGAAAUAGCGCUUUAAUGUGUGCAUGACUGUGCAUGUGUAUAUAUGGAAACUACAGCUUUGACAAGCCUCUCGUCUGCCUUGGGAAGGAAACAGCAGGGCUUGAAAGCCAUGGAGUCGCAAUGCGCUGGCUAAGGUCAGCAGCUUUCAGUGACUCACAAUCUGUUUUCCUGGCAGCCCCACCAUACAGCAGGUUGUGCCCUUUUUAUCUUCUGUUUCUUUAUUUUUUUAAAAAAAGAAAGGCCUACAUAAGAAAAGCUGCUGGCUCCAGACAGCCUGGAAGUCCUCACCCUUUGACAGCAUGCAUGUUCUCAAGUACAGAAAGCUCUGCUCAGUGGAAUCUCUACCAGCCUAUUUUUGCACUGGUAAGGAGAUGCCCUUUCAGUUUACAUUGGAUUGAUGUUAUUCUGAAAAAUAUUUGCUAGGCUGUCUCUCUGGUAGCCAUCCUUGCUUUCCAUUUUCUGUAUGCUUGCAGCCGAGCUGGGGAGGAGCAAUGGGCACAGGCAGCUGAAAGCUGCUAGGGCACCAAGAUGCCUCUGGCUGCCAUUAAGUGUCUGGUUUCGAGCAAGAGGACAGAUUUGUUUCACUUUUUCUUCCUUUUCUUUGCUAAAAAUACAAUUGACACUGCCUCAGCAUUUACAGAUAAUACAUGGAUUGGUCAAAUAAUGUAAUUUGUUAAAAGAACCCAAAGAGAUAGAAUUUUUGACUUCCACUUCUACUAACUUUUUUCCCCCAAACUUUUUAAAACUCUCCUUACCGUCGUUUUUCUUUCUUUCAUAUUCCCAACAUUUCAUUGUCAGCUGCCUCCUAUACAUACUGGAACAAGCACAGGUAAUCAUUGGGAGAGGCAGCUACUUCAUUUCGAGACAAGAAGGAAACUUCUGAAUCAGAUUUGAAAUGAACAUAAGCUGUGCUACAGAUUUGUCUCUACAGGUACAUAUCUGCUCUGACCUGUGAACCUCCAUCUCUGCCCCACGCGUGUGCAGGCACAGCCCCAUGCUGUGCAGUACAGCCCAUACCUCCCAGGAGCAGUUCGCAGACAGAUGAAGCAGGCUGUGUAAGGACAGUUGCCACUGUGACGAUCCAUGCAGGUUCACAAGAACAUAUUAAAUAGCGGCCAUUAAUCUGCUGUUUAGAAAAAAAAACAAACAGCCAUGCAUUUCUACUUCCUAUAGAUAGCAAUUCAAUUAUUAUGGGGCUUGAGUCUCCUUGCACUCCUGUGAGAAGUUUUAUUCUUUAUUUAUUCUCAUUUUAUAGACUGAGACACGGGGACAUACUUGGCUGAGGACACAGAAUGAAUCUAUCUGAAGUUUUCUAGGAAUUUUGCCAUCGUUAAUAUCACUUGCUGAAAAGCAUUAGUGUAAAGGGGGCCAUCAGUGCUCUUCACAGCCCAUCCACCUCUGAACAGUGCAGAGAUGUCCAUUUUUUGGCUGCACUGCUGCUCAGAAAGUUGCUCUGCCUCUUCCUGCCUGUGAGAGGCUUUGCAAGAGAGCCAAACGAUGAACCCCACAGCAAGAAGGACCACCUAAACCACUCCCACUUCCAAAUCAUCCUGUUAACAUUUGACAGCUUCCUGUGUUUUUCUCAUCUCCACCUUUCUGUGUUCUCAGCACGGGAGGGCUGUGGAUAAGGAUACCUGUGGCACACGAGGCGCUUUGGGGCACAUUGCUGCCAAUCAGCCGGGUCACAACGAGAGCCCCCGAAGAAGACCUGAGGCCACGGCUCUGGGCUUCAGCGUGGCAGGGCUUCAACAGUGGAAACUUUUAUCUUUUCCAGC
ensembl:lncRNA